UUUUAGGGUUUAGAGAUUUGGGGUCGGGUUAAGGUUUAAGGUUUAGAUUAAUUAGUAAUUUUUUAAUUUCUAUAUCAAUUAAGUUCUUAUAUAAUUGUAAAAGAGGGGUUAGAGGUUAGAGGUUAGGGGUUAGGGGUUUAGGGUUUAUGUUUUAUGAUUUAUGGUUUAGGAUAUAGGGGUUAGGGGUUAGAUUAAUUGGUGUUUUUUUAAUU
rnacentral:lncRNA from 1 species